GCUGAGGACCAGAAGGGGGCUGAGACCACCCCCCAGUUUCCCCCAGCGAGGUGGCGCCUGAGCCACGGCCAGGCCCGGCCUCCUUCCACCCGGCCCUGCUGUGCGCGAGGCGGGUGCUGACCUGGCGAGGCCGGACAGGGACCAGGUCGGGGUGAAGGUCACUGACACCUGGACUUGUGGCCAGUCCUCGUUGUGAUCGGAGUGGGAGGCCCACGGGGUCAAGAAUUCAGGAAGGGAUCUUUGGGAGUCAGUCUGUCAUAUGAGUGUGUUCGGAAGUCACUGGGCUGCGAGUCCAAGAUGGGACACCCACGAGGCUGGAGCUCUGCAGGGGCCGUUGCCUGGACGCCACACAUGGUGUCUCCAGCGUGGUGCUCACAGGGUGCUGGACUUUUCCACGUGGGCUGGUCUCCUCUCAUGGAGCCUCCAAAGACGCCAGGUGGGAGCUGCAGGGCAUUUCUGACGUGGCCGCGGGAGCCCUGUGCCACCGCUCCCUUCUCAGACCCCAUCUCUCCGUGGGACAGCCCCAUAGAACUUGCAGAGCUGUUAAAGGCUGUUGCAUAGGGAGGUGGCACCUGGGGGCCGCAGCAGCCCUGAGAGUGUGGCUCCCCUGCGGGUGUGGAGAUUGGGCUCUGGGUGUUUCUGCGGCAACUCAAGCAGAGAUUGUGGAGCCGUUCUCAUCCUGGAAUGCAGGCUUUUCAUUCAUAGAAACAGCAAGCGGCCAUGAGUGUGAUUUAUUGGGAACUGGAGGUGAGAAGAGGGUUGCACGGUCUCCUAAACCAACCUGAGGAAACAGGUAGUCAUUGCUGGCAUUUAACUGUGAAUAUUUCCUAAGCCUGCCGUAGAUUGAGACUCACUGCCGUAGCUGUAAAGGGUGUGGACAUGAUGGGAAUGGGGGUUGGUCUCAGUAGGGAGGCAGGGCUCCCAUUUUUACUAACACCAGAUUUACAGGAUCAGCCCAACAAACAGACUGCUUUUUUUCUGGCUGGCUGAAAAUAAAUGGGAGAGAGAAAAUAAAACAAUACUGGUGCAUUAGUUAUCUAUUGUCACAUUAAAAUAAUUGCUCUAAAACUUGGAGGUUUACAAUCUCAAUAAGCAUUUACGAUGGCAGAGUUUCCAUAGGUUGUUCAGAAAGGCCUGCUGGGUGGGCUCCGUGGUGAGCAGGUCUAUGCCACUUACCCACAAAGGCUGAGGGAGCUGAGAGGCUGAAGAAACAGGCCGAUGAAUCCUGUUUCUCAGAAAGAAACAUUCAACAGUGCGAUGGGAGCAGAAGCCACGUGUGGGCGGCCAUGAGAUCCAUGCAUUGCUACCCGCAGACCCAGGGCUUAGGUAGCAGCCAGAAAGGGAGCGGGAGCUUCAGAAGGAUGUGUAAGACAACUGGCCUACCCUCAGGAAGAGGCAAGAAUGCCACCUGCUGGUCCACCCUCAGGAGAAGGCAAGAAUGCCACCUGCACCACAGCCUGUGACUCACGUAAAGGCAGGAUUUUGUUUACAAUAACAUUAAGGUUGUUUUGACCUAAGGGCCCAGAACUAGGGUUCAUGGGAAGUCCACAUGGAGGCUUAGCAUCCGAGAUGGAAUCAUUUUAGCCUUUGCCACAGGUGGUUCCGGCUACGUGAGCCUAGAUGUUGUCUGGGGUGAAGCGGUCUGAAGGCUCGGCUAGGGCUGGAGGACCCAUCUCCAAGAUGGCACACUGUGCUGCCGGCAGGCAGCUGCUGCCCUUCGGUGGGAGGCCUUGGGUUCUUGGCACGUGGUCCUGUCUGCGUGUCUUCGCCGACUGUCCUCAUGAGUGGCCUCUUCCUCCACACAGGGAUCCCAGAGAGCACAGCGUAAGCUGCAGUGUUCUUCGCAGCCUCGUGUCUGAAGUCACAGUGUCACUCUGCCACAUUCCAUGUGUGGGGUGUGAGCCUCUAAGGUUGAUUCUGCCUUUAGAAAGGAGGGUAUCAAAGACGUUGGAACAUAUUUUAACAAAGACGUGACUAUAAAAAAUAAAAUGACGAAGUGAAUUAUAUAAUAUUAUGUAUAAUUUUAUGGCAAGAAAUUUGAAGAUUGAGAGGAAAUACAUUACCAGAAUAAGUGGAAAACUUGGGUAAAUCAAUAAAAAAGGAAGAAAUUGGCAA
ensembl:lncRNA